UCCAGACUCCUACGGGAGGCAGCAGUGGGGGAUAUUGCACAAUGGGGGGAACCCUGAUGCAGCGACGCCGCGUGGGUGAAGGAGCGUUUCGGCGCGUAAAGCCCUAUCGGCAGGGAAGAAGGAGGACGGUACCUGACUAAGAAGCCCCGGCUAACUACGUGCCAGCAGCCGCGGUAAUACGUAGGGGGCAAGCGUUAUCCGGAUUUACUGGGUGUAAAGGGGGCGCAGACGGCAGCGCAAGCCAGGAGUGAAAGCCCGGGGCCCAACCCCGGGACUGCUCUUGGAACUGCGCGGCUGGAGUGCAGGAGGGGCAGGCGGAAUUCCUGGUGUAGCGGUGAAAUGCGUAGAUAUCAGGAGGAACACCGGUGGCGAAGGCGGCCUGCUGGACCGUAACUGACGUUGAGGCUCGAAAGCGUGGGGAGCAAACAGGAUUAGAUACCCCCGUA
rnacentral:rRNA from 1 species